AUUGAACGCUGGCGGCAGGCCUAACACAUGCAAGUCGAGCGGAUGAAGGGAGCUUGCUCCUGGAUUCAGCGGCGGACGGGUGAGUGAUGCCUAGGAAUCUGCCUGGUAGUGGGGGAUAACGUCCGGAAACGGGCGCUAAUACCGCAUACGUCCUGAGGGAGAAAGUGGGGGAUCUUCGGACCUCACGCUAUCAGAUGAGCCUAGGUCGGAUUAGCUAGUUGGUGGGGUAAAGGCCUACCAAGGCGACGAUCCGUAACUGGUCUGAGAGGAUGAUCAGUCACACUGGAACUGAGACACGGUCCAGACUCCUACGGGAGGCAGCAGUGGGGAAUAUUGGACAAUGGGCGAAAGCCUGAUCCAGCCAUGCCGCGUGUGUGAAGAAGGUCUUCGGAUUGUAAAGCACUUUAAGUUGGGAGGAAGGGCAGUAAGUUAAUACCUUGCUGUUUUGACGUUACCUACAGAAUAAGCACCGGCUAACUUCGUG
rnacentral:rRNA from 1 species